UGAGCUGAGAGUUUGAUCCUGGCUCAGGACGAACGCUGGCGGCGUGCUUAACACAUGCAAGUUGAACGACGGCUGUUUGAAGCGGCAACGCGGAGGGCGGUACGGAGUAGCGGACGGGUGAGUACAACAUGAGAAGCUAUCC
rnacentral:rRNA from 1 species